AACUUUUAGCAACGGAUCUCUUGGCUCUCGCAUCGAUGAAGAACGCAGCGAAAUGCGAUAAGUAAUGUGAAUUGCAGAAUUCAGUGAAUCACCGAAUCUUUGAACGCACCUUGCGCCCUCUGGCUAUUCUGAAGGGCAUGCCUGUUUGAGCAUCAUAAACAUCUCAACUCUCACGGUUUCCUGUGAUGAGCUUGGACUUUGGGGGUCUCGUUGGCUUGUGUUCCGCUCCCCUCAAAUCUACAAGCUUGCCCGUGUUUGGCAGCAUCACGGGUGUGAGAAAUAAAGACGCUUGUGGUUCUGUGGCAGGGCUGGCGUCUCGUGGCAGAAGGCGCACUGGAGCUCAUAGAUGUCUCGGCUUGGUGGAGCUAGCUGUAUGAAGCUUAGUCUCAAAUCAGGGAGGAAAACCCGUUGAACUUCAUCAUAUCAAUAAGCUGAGUUU
rnacentral:misc_RNA from 1 species